rnacentral:rRNA from 1 species
UCUCGUAUCGAUGAAGAACGCAGCGAAACGCGAUAUUUCUUGUGAAUUGCAGAAGUGAAUCAUCAGUUUUUGAACGCACAUUGCACUUUG